GUGAGGAAUAUUGCGCAAUGGAGGCAACUCUGACGCAGCCAUGCCGCGUGCAGGAAGAAGGCGCUACGCGUUGUAAACUGCUUUUAACCGGGAAGAAACCCCAGGACGUGUCCUGGGUUGACGGUACCGGAGGAAUAAGCACCGGCUAACUUCGUGCCAGCAGCCGCGGUAAUACGAAGGGUGCAAGCGUUAUCCGGAUUCAUUGGGUUUAAAGGGUGCGUAGGCGGAGCGUUAAGUCAGUGGUGAAAUCCUGCAGCUUAACUGUAGGCUUGCCAUUGAUACUGGCGCUCUUGAGUGCGCUUGAAGUGGGCGGAAUGUGCCGUGUAGCGGUGAAAUGCUUAGAUAUGGCACAGAACACCAAUUGCGAAGGCAGCUCACUAAGGCGAUACUGACGCUGAGGCACGAAAGCGUGGGGAUCGAACAGGAUUAGAAACCCGGGUAGUCC
rnacentral:rRNA from 1 species